rnacentral:rRNA from 1 species
UGGGGGAUAUUGCACAAUGGGCGAAAGCCUGAUGCAGCGACGCCGCGUGGGGGAUGAAGGCUUUCGGGUUGUAAACCUCUUUCGCUAUCGAACAAGGCCCGCUUAGGGUGGGUUGAGGGUAGGUGGAGAAGAAGCGCCGGCUAACUACGUGCCAGCAGCCGCGGUAAUACGUAGGGCGCGAGCGUUGUCCGGAAUUAUUGGGCGUAAAGGGCUUGUAGGCGGCUUGUUGCGCCUGCUGUGAAAACGCGGGGCUUAACUUCGCGCGUGCAGUGGGUACGGGCAGGCUUGAGUGUGGUAGGGGUGACUGGAAUUCCAGGUGUAGCGGUGGAAUGCGCAGAUAUCUGGAAGAACACCGAUGGCGAAGGCAGGUCACUGGGCCAUUACUGACGCUGAGGAGCGAAAGCAUGGGUAGCGAACAGG